rnacentral:rRNA from 1 species
AUUGAACGCUGGCGGCAUGCCUUACACAUGCAAGUCGAACGGCAGCACGGGAGCUUGCUCCUGGUGGCGAGUGGCGAACGGGUGAGUAAUACAUCGGAACGUGCCCAGUAGUGGGGGAUAGCCCGGCGAAAGCCGGAUUAAUACCGCAUACGACCUACGGGUGGAAGCGGGGGACCGUAAGGCCUCGCGCUAUUGGAGCGGCCGAUGUCUGAUUAGCUUGUUGGUGGGGUAAAAGCCCACCAAGGCGACGAUCAGUAGCUGGUCUGAGAGGACGAUCAGCCACACUGGGACUGAGACACGGCCCAGACUCCUACGGGAGGCAGCAGUGGGGAAUUUUGGACAAUGGGGGCAACCCUGAUCCAGCAAUGCCGCGUGUGCGAAGAAGGCCUUCGGGUUGUAAAGCACUUUUGUCAGGGAAGAAAUCUUUCAGGCUAAUACCCUUGGAAGGAUGACGGUACCUGAAGAAUAAGCACCGGCUAACUACGUGCCAGCAGCCGCGGUAA